rnacentral:rRNA from 1 species
UUGAACGCUGGCGGCAUGCCUUACACAUGCAAGUCGAACGGCAGCACGGGAGCAAUCCUGGUGGCGAGUGGCGAACGGGUGAGUAAUAUAUCGGAACGUGCCCAGUCGUGGGGGAUAACGCAGCGAAAGCUGUGCUAGUACCGCAUACGAUCUCUGGAUGAAAGCGGGGGACCGUAAGGCCUCGCGCGAUUGGAGCGGCCGAUAUCAGAUUAGCUAGUUGGUGGGGUAAAAGCCCACCAAGGCGACGAUCUGUAGCUGGUCUGAGAGGACGACCAGCCACACUGGAACUGAGACACGGUCGAGACUCCUACGGGAGGCAGCAGUGGGGAAUUUUGGACAAUGGGCGCAAGCCUGAUCCAGCAAUGCCGCGUGCAGGAUGAAGGCCUUCGGGUUGUAAACUGCUUUUGUACGGAACGAAACGGCUCACUCUAAUACGGUGGGCUAAUGACGGUACCGUAAGAAUAAGCACCGGCUAACUACGU